rnacentral:rRNA from 1 species
CAGUCGCCGCGGUAAUACGUAGGGUGCGAGCGUUGUCCGGAUUUAUUGGGCGUAAAGAGCUUGUAGGCGGUUUGUCGCGUCGGGAGUGAAAACUCGGGGCUUAACUCCGAGCUUGCUUUCGAUACGGGCUGACUUGAGGGAGGUAGGGGAGAAUGGAAUUCCUGGUGGAGCGGUGGAAUGCGCAGAUAUCAGGAGGAACACCGGUGGCGAAGGCGGUUCUCUGGACCUUUCCUGACGCUGAGAAGCGAAAGCGUGGGGAGCGAACAGGCUUAGAUACCCCGGUAGUCCCUGUCUCUUAUAC